GCUGCAGGGUGGACUGGUUAUAGGUUACUAGCUGCAGGGUGGACUGGUUAUAGGUUACUAGCUGCAGGGUGGACUGGUUAUAGGUUACUAGCUGCAGGGUGGACUGGCUAUAGGUUACUAGCUGCAGGGUGGACUGGCUAUAGGUUACUAGCUGCAGGGUGGACUGGUUAUAGGUUACUAGCUGCAGGGUGGACUGGUUAUAGGUUACUAGCUGCAGGGUGGACUGGUUAUAGGUUACUAGCUGCAGGCUGCAGGGUGGACUGGUUAUAGGUUACUAGCUGCAGGCUGCAGGGUGGACUGGUUAUAGGUUACUAGCUGCAGGGUGG
ensembl:lncRNA